rnacentral:rRNA from 1 species
UACAGAGGGGGCAAGCGUUGUUCGGAAUUACUGGGCGUAAAGGGCGCGUAGGCGGCCUUCUCAGUCGAACGUGAAAUCCCCGGGCUCAACCCGGGAACUGCGUCCGAUACUGGAAGGCUUGAAUCCGGGAGAGGGAUGCGGAAUUCCAGGUGUAGCGGUGAAAUGCGUAGAUAUCUGGAGGAACACCGGUGGCGAAGGCGGCAUCCUGGACCGGCAUUGACGCUGAGGCGCGAAAGCCAGGGGAGCAAACGGG